rnacentral:rRNA from 1 species
GGAUUAGAUACCCUGGUAGUCCACGCCCUAAACGAUGAGAACUAGUUGUUGGGAGCCUUAAUAGCUCUUAGUGACGAAGCUAACGCGUUAAGUUCUCCGCCUGGGGAGUACGGCCGCAAGGUUGAAACUCAAAGGAAUUGACGGGGGCCCGCACAAGCGGUGGAGCAUGUGGUUUAAUUCGAUGCAACGCGAAGAACCUUACCAGCCCUUGACAUCCUCGGAACUUACUAGAGAUAGUUUGGUGCCUUCGGGAACCGAGUGACAGGUGCUGCAUGGCUGUCGUCAGCUCGUGCCG